rnacentral:rRNA from 1 species
AAAGCCUGAUCCAGCCAUGCCGCGUGUGUGAAGAAGGUCUUCGGAUUGUAAAAGCACUUUAAGUUGGGAGGAAGGGCAGUAAGCUAAUACCUUGCUGUUUUGACGUUACCGACAGAAUAAGCACCGGCUAACUCUGUGCCAGCAGCCGCGGUAAUACAGAGGGUGCAAGCGUUAAUCGGAAUUACUGGGCGUAAAGCGCGCGUAGGUGGUUCGUAAAGUGGGAUGUGAAAGCCCCGGGCUCAACCUGGGAACUGCAUCCAAAACUGGCGAGCUAGAGUACGGUAGAGGGUGGUGGAAUUUCCUGUGUAGCGGUGAAAUGCGUAGAUAUAGGAAGGAACACCAGUGGCGAAGGCGACCACCUGGACUGAUACUGACACUGAGGUGCGAAAGCGUGCGGAGCAAACAGGAUUAGAUACCCUGGUAGUCCACGCCGUAAACGAUGUCAACUAGCCGUUGGAAUCCUUGAGAUAUUAGUGGCGCAGCUAACGCAUUAAGUUGACCGCCUGGGGAGUACGGCCGCAAGGUUAAAACUCAAAUGAAUUGACGGGGGCCCGCACAAGCGGUGGAGCAUGUGGUUCAAUUCGAAGCAACGCGAAGAACCUUACCAGGCCUUGACAUGCAGAGA